rnacentral:lncRNA from 1 species
UAGUUUCUGCCCACAUAUCUGGUACCAAAAUUUUUAUUAGUCUGUAACCACGUGGAUACCUAUGAAAGCUAUCCAUAAUUCUGUAACCACAUGACUUGUCUUCAUCUUUGAACAUCUAACAUUUUUGCUUUCAUCGUCAUCUGUGUUCGCAGCUAACUGUUUCCCGAUGAAAUCCUACACAAACAAUCCAAUUUUGCUUCGUUGUUUUCUGAAGUUGUUUGUAUACGGUGCUAUAUGUUAGAUAACCGCCGUAUCUGGUCCUCCUGAUGAAGCUGCAUAUUGGAAGCUGUAGAAUUGUUGGAUGUUAUUUAAGAUUUUCAGCUAUUCCAAUUGUAUGCAUGUUUUUAGCUAUUAAGAUUGACAACGAGAACUGUAUGAUAUUAAAACGAAACCAUUUUGAUUUUGAAUAGUACAAUGACGUUUCCAACAAUCAAAGUCCACAUGGAUUGUUUAUACUAAUGAACGUGCACUAAUAUCCCAAAACAAAUUCCUACACCAAAACAUUUCUCGCUAAGGUACAACAAUCUAUUUUGAUAGCUAAUCGUAGAUAGCUCAGCCGUGGUUCUCUAAACAAGGUUAUCUAUCAAUUAUUAAAGCUUAGAAGUUGCGUACAUUUUUCCAUAUCCACAUGGAUUUAUAUAUGAUGAACAUAAAUCCGUAGAUAAUGAUAUGAACUUAAAAUAUGUAUCUAUGUGGAUAUCUUUCAAACAACUCCUUUCAUAGACUCCAUCUUUCUCCUUUUCUUCAUUCUCAGCCACAUCUUGAAUCAAUUGCUUUUACGAGCACCCAUUCUCGUCUUCAACAUCUAGUUCACAUAGCCUUGUCGUCGUCGAUAACGGGACAAUCCUUGACAGGAAGAUCUGGUCUACCUUGAACUCGGCGGCGUUACCGCUUGAGAACCCCCAUUAUCCAGACACUACCACACAAAACCCAGAUAUUUCAGCCUGCAAAUACCAAAGAAAAAAAAAUUAAAAACUUACCCAAUCCACAAAAUACUCACAAAAGAAACAUAAAUCCGUCUCCACUAAAGCCUACCUCU